UACAGAGACUGCAAGCGUUAUUCGGAUUCACUGGGCGUAAAGGGUGCGCAGGCGGCCGUGUGUGUGAGGCGUGAAAGCCCGGGGCUCAACCCCGGAAUUGCACCUCAAACUACACGGCUAGAGCAUUGGAGAGGGAAGCAGAAUUCAUGGUGUAGCAGUGAAAUGCGUAGAUAUCAUGAGGAAUACCAGAGGCGAAGGCGGCUACCUGGACAAUUGCUGACGCUCAGGCACGAAAGCGUGGGGAGCAAAAGGG
rnacentral:rRNA from 1 species